GAUCAUGGCUCGGGAUGAACGCUAGCGGCAGGCUUAACACAUGCAAGUCGAGGGGCAGCAUAAUGGAUAGUAAUAUCUAUGGUGGCGACCGGCGCACGGGUGCGUAACGCGUAUGCAACCUACCUUUAACAGGGGGAUAACACUGAGAAAUUGGUACUAAUACCCCAUAAUAUCAUAGAAGGCAUCUUUUAUGGUUGAAAAUUCCGAUGGUUAGAGAUGGGCAUGCGUUGUAUUAG
rnacentral:rRNA from 1 species